rnacentral:lncRNA from 1 species
AGAAAUAUGCAAUUAUCUCUUGGUAAGGCCUCAUGAUCAGCAACAGUGUCACUUGCGGGCGCCUACGAUCAUACUUCAAAAUCCAUCCAUCGGUGACCUUAACGUCAAACCUGUUGUAAUUCUCGAUAGGUAAGGCCAUUUGGAUAGUAACCUUACUAUUUAGAAAGUUACUAGUACUGCCCGUGUCGAUGAGAACAGUGAUCGGUUGUUGUUUGAGAAGGCCUCCAACUUUCAUCGUUUGC